rnacentral:rRNA from 1 species
UACGUAGGGUGCAAGCGUUAAUCGGAAUUACUGGGCGUAAAGCGUGCGCAGGCGGUUGUGUAAGACAGAUGUGAAAUCCCCGGGCUCAACCUGGGAACUGCAUUUGUGACUGCACAGCUGGAGUGCGGCAGAGGGGGAUGGAAUUCCGCGUGUAGCAGUGAAAUGCGUAGAUAUGCGGAGGAACACCGAUGGCGAAGGCAAUCCCCCUGGGCCUGCACUGACGCUCAUGCACGAAAGCGUGGGGAGCAAACAGG